GACGAAGGGGGCUAGCGUUGUUCGGAAUUACUGGGCGUAAAGCGCGUGUAGGCGGUUGCCCAAGUCGGGUGUGAAAGCCUUUGAGCUACAACUCAAGAAAUGCACUCGGUACUGGGUGACUAGAGGACCGGAGAGGAUAGUGGAAUUCCCAGUGUAGUGGUGAAAUACGUAGAGAUUGGGAAGAACACCAGUGGCGAAGGCGGCUAUCUGGACGGUUUCUGACGCUAAGACGCGAAAGCGUGGGGAGCAACGGGGAUUAA
rnacentral:rRNA from 1 species